rnacentral:rRNA from 1 species
UAAGGUGAUAUGAACCGUUAUAACCGGCGAUACCCGAAUGGGGACACCCUGUGUGAUUCGUCACACUAUCAUUAACUGAAUCCAUAGGUUAAUGAGGCGAACCGGGGGAACUGAAACAUCUAAGUACCCCGAGGAAAAGAAAUCAACCGAGAUUCCCCCAGUAGCGGCGAGCGAACGGGGAGGAGCCCAGAGCCUGAAUCAGCAUGUGUGUUAGUGGAAGCGUCUGGAAAGGCGCGCGAUACAGGGUGACAGCCCCGUACACAAAAGCGCAUGUGCUGUGAGCUCGAUGAGUAGGGCGGGACACGUGGUAUCCUGUCUGAAUAUGGGGGGACCAUCCUCCAAGGCUAAAUACUCCUGACUGACCGAUAGUGAACCAGUACCGUGAGGGAAAGGCGAAAAGAACCCCGGCGAGGGGAGUGAAAAAGAACCUGAAACCGUGUACGUACAAGCAGUGGGAGCNNGUGACUGCGUACCUUUUGUAUAAUGGGUCAGCGACUUAUAUUCUGUAGCAAGGUUAACCGAAUAGGGGAGCCGGAGGGAAACCGAGUCUUAAUUGGGCGUUAAGUUGCAGGGUAUAGACCCGAAACCCGGUGAUCUAGCCAUGGGCAGGUUGAAGGUUGGGUAACACUAACUGGAGGACCGAACCGACUAAUGUUGAAAAAUUAGCGGAUGACCUGUGGCUGGGGGUGAAAGGCCAAUCAAACCGGGAGAUAGCUGGUUCUCCCCGAAAGCUAUUUAGGUAGCGCCUCGUGAAUUCAUCUCCGGGGGUAGAGCACUGUUUCGGCUAGGGGGCCAUCCCGGCUUACCAACCCGAUGCAAACUGCGAAUACCGGAGAAUGUUAUCACGGGAGACACACGGCGGGUGCUAACGUCCGUCGUGAAGAGGGAAACAACCCAGACCGCCAGCUAAGGUCCCAAAGUCAUGGUUAAGUGGGAAACGAUGUGGGAAGGCCCAGACAGCCAGGAUGUUGGCUUAGAAGCAGCCAUCAUUUAAAGAAAGCGUAAUAGCUCACUGGUCGAGUCGGCCUGCGCGGAAGAUGUAACGGGGCUAAACCAUGCACCGAAGCUGCGGCAGCGANNNNNNNNNNNNNNNNNNNNNNNNNNNNNNNNNNNNNNNNNNNNNNNNNNNNNNNNNNNNNNNNNNNNNNNNUGCUGGAGGUAUCAGAAGUGCGAAUGCUGACAUAAGUAACGAUAAAGCGGGUGAAAAGCCCGCUCGCCGGAAGACCAAGGGUUCCUGUCCAACGUUAAUCGGGGCAGGGUGAGUCGACCCCUAAGGCGAGGCCGAAAGGCGUAGUCGAUGGGAAACGGGUUAAUAUUCCCGUACUUGGUGUUACUGCGAAGGGGGGACGGAGAAGGCUAUGUUGGCCGGGCGACGGUUGUCCCGGUUUAAGCGUGUAGGCUGGUUUUCCAGGCAAAUCCGGAAAAUCAAGGCUGAGGCGUGAUGACGAGGCACUACGGUGCUGAAGCAACAAAUGCCCUGCUUCCAGGAAAAGCCUCUAAGCAUCAGGUAACAUCAAAUCGUACCCCAAACCGACACAGGUGGUCAGGUAGAGAAUACCAAGGCGCUUGAGAGAACUCGGGUGAAGGAACUAGGCAAAAUGGUGCCGUAACUUCGGGAGAAGGCACGCUGACACGUAGGUGAAGUGAUUUACUCAUGGAGCUGAAGUCAGUCGAAGAUACCAGCUGGCUGCAACUGUUUAUUAAAAACACAGCACUGUGCAAACACGAAAGUGGACGUAUACGGUGUGACGCCUGCCCGGUGCCGGAAGGUUAAUUGAUGGGGUCAGCGCAAGCGAAGCUCCUGAUCGAAGCCCCGGUAAACGGCGGCCGUAACUAUAACGGUCCUAAGGUAGCGAAAUUCCUUGUCGGGUAAGUUCCGACCUGCACGAAUGGCGUAAUGAUGGCCAGGCUGUCUCCACCCGAGACUCAGUGAAAUUGAACUCGCUGUGAAGAUGCAGUGUACCCGCGGCAAGACGGAAAGACCCCGUGAACCUUUACUAUAGCUUGACACUGAACAUUGAGCCUUGAUGUGUAGGAUAGGUGGGAGGCUUUGAAGUGUGGACGCCAGUCUGCAUGGAGCCGACCUUGAAAUACCACCCUUUAAUGUUUGAUGUUCUAACGUGGACCCGUAAUCCGGGUUGCGGACAGUGUCUGGUGGGUAGUUUGACUGGGGCGGUCUCCUCCUAAAGAGUAACGGAGGAGCACGAAGGUUGGCUAAUCCUGGUCGGACAUCAGGAGGUUAGUGCAAUGGCAUAAGCCAGCUUGACUGCGAGCGUGACGGCGCGAGCAGGUGCGAAAGCAGGUCAUAGUGAUCCGGUGGUUCUGAAUGGAAGGGCCAUCGCUCAACGGAUAAAAGGUACUCCGGGGAUAACAGGCUGAUACCGCCCAAGAGUUCAUAUCGACGGCGGUGUUUGGCACCUCGAUGUCGGCUCAUCACAUCCUGGGGCUGAAGUAGGUCCCAAGGGUAUGGCUGUUCGCCAUUUAAAGUGGUACGCGAGCUGGGUUUAGAACGUCGUGAGACAGUUCGGUCCCUAUCUGCCGUGGGCGCUGGAGAACUGAGGGGGGCUGCUCCUAGUACGAGAGGACCGGAGUGGACGCAUCACUGGUGUUCGGGUUGUCAUGCCAAUGGCACUGCCCGGUAGCUAAAUGCGGAAGAGAUAAGUGCUGAAAGCAUCUAAGCACGAAACUUGCCCCGAGAUGAGUUCUCCCUGAGACUUAGAGUCUCCUGAAGGAACGUUGAAGACGACGACGUUGAUAGGCCGGGUGUGUAAGCGCAGCGAUGCGUUGAGCUAACCGGUACUAAUGAACCGUG